AGAAUCAACGCUGGCGGCGUGCCUCAGACAUGCAAGUCGAACGCGAUUUGAGUCUUCGGACUCAAGUUGAGUGGCGCACGGGUGAGUAACACGUAGGUAAUCUACCUUUGGGUGGGGAAUAACAGCCGGAAACGGCUGCUAAUACCGCAUAAUGCAGCGGCAUCACAUGAUGACAGUUGUUAAAGCGGGGGAUCGAAAGACCUCGCGCCAGAAGAGGAGCCUGCGGCAGAUUAGCUAGUUGGUAGGGUAACGGCCUACCAAGGCUACGAUCUGUA
rnacentral:rRNA from 1 species